UAAGUGUUACCCAUGAUUGAAGUAUAUUGAUAUCACAGAUAUCUGUGUUAACGAGCAGUUGAACAGGUGUACAUAAUAAAGUGGCCGGUGAGUGAAAACUCCCUUUCCAUUUCAACCAAUGUCAGUUUGCUGCUGAUCUAAUUGGCGACAGGUUCCACGAUGUGUCCAGCACCUGGUUGUAGUCUCUGUUAGAGGAAGUGCUGACAGACGGUUGUCUCCAGCAGCGUGCUCCCAGUUAUUACAGCGAUCCAUCAAAGGCCUAAUCCUUUUACAGGGUGUGAGUCAGCACGCUGCACCAGUCGCUGUGUGUCAUCAGCCGAGUCCAGAACACGUCUGUCACGCAGUCGCACCGCUGUCAAAUUUGUAAAGCUCAGCAGGAUUGUUGCACACUCUGUGUCAUAUUGACCCGCACGUCCCAGUAAGGUGACUGGAGCAUGUCUCUUAGCCAGAACUUUUCUGCUGGUGGGAAGCUCUGGAAGUUCAAAGUCAGCUGCUUUGCAUUCAUUUGCUACAAUCUGUUCCAGAAGCUGCUACCUGGAGAGCAGUGUGUCUGACUGACUGACUGACUGACUGACUGGGGCUCAAACCAACUCACGCUGUAACAACUCAUUCAAAUAUUUAAUCACAGUUAAUCUCAUGAUUGUUUAUAGAUAAUCGCAAAUUAAUUGCACAUUUCAUAUCUGUUUAAAGGGAGAUUUUUUAACUAUUUGUGCUUUUAUCAACAUGGGUUUGGAUAAAUAUGCUGGUUUUAUGCAAAUGUUUGUUAAAUCAAUUAAUAGAACUG